AGGGGAGCCGAAGGGAAACCGAGUCUUAACUGGGCGUUAAGUUGCAGGGUAUAGACCCGAAACCCGGUGAUCUAGCCAUGGGCAGGUUGAAGGUUGGGUAACACUAACUGGAGGACCGAACCGACUAAUGUUGAAAAAUUAGCGGAUGACUUGUGGCUGGGGGUGAAAGGCCAAUCAAACCGGGAGAUAGCUGGUUCUCCCCGAAAGCUAUUUAGGUAGCGCCUCGUGAAUUCAUCUCCGGGGGUAGAGCACUGUUUCGGCAAGGGGGUCAUCCCGACUUACCAACCCGAUGCAAACUGCGAAUACCGGAGAAUGUUAUCACGGGAGACACACGGCGGGUGCUAACGUCCGUCGUGAAGAGGGAAACAACCCAGACCGCCAGCUAAGGUCCCAAAGUCAUGGUUAAGUGGGAAACGAUGUGGGAAGGCCCAGACAGCCAGGAUGUUGGCUUAGAAGCAGCCAUCAUUUAAAGAAAGCGUAAUAGCUCACUGGUCGAGUCGGCCUGCGCGGAAGAUGUAACGGGGCUAAACCAUGCACCGAAGCUGCGGCAGCGAC
rnacentral:rRNA from 1 species